GAAGGAGCGUUACUGGGUCAAGGCAAGUGUUUUUUCGGCGUAACAUUCUAAUUUCUACAUAUUCAGAUUGCAGCUAUUGAUCGUAAUUUUUGGUCUUGCAUCAUUUUGUUCCUGCUUUCCAUUUAUUAACUUUUCAGUCAUAUCGUGCCUACUUUUUCAAUCUUUUGUCAAUAUUGCCUUUCCUUGAUAGUCACCUGUCCUGUUAAUUCUUUUGAUAUUCUUCAAUUUCAAUUAUCCAAUGUUUCUGUUUCAUCCAAGGAAAUUUUUAGCAGUUGGUAAUUUCUUAUCCUAUUUUUCUUCAAUUAUCCUAUAAAAUUUUGUUGGUAUUGCUUGUAUAGUAGUGUGAAUUCAAACUCCAAAUUGCUUUAGUGGACCCAGUCAAUCUUUUGUGAUGUUAAAGGUGAACAUGCAUUGGAUUGUGUAAGAAUACAGGUUUUAGAGCACGGAUGACCAUUGGCAUGAUAAUGUUUUGAUUAACAAUUGCAUAACAUUUUAGUGAGGAUAAAUGAUACAGUAGUUGAUGGAGUCAUGGAAUCUUUAUAGUUACAUUUUUAUGUUCCUGAUUCUAUUUUACCAAAGUUGGUUCUCAUUUUUUUAACUAGUGAAGUGUCCUAUCAUGAACUUGCACCUUUUUUUAAAAAAAGAAAAAAAAAACUUGGGCGUAGCUCCUCAUGACAUAAUCUCUUUGAAAUGUCCCAUUUCUUUUUUGUGUAAAGUUAAACACAGCUGAAUGGCAAAAAUGAUUCUAUAGCCAAUUUCAACUAAUUUGGGAUUGAGGCUUGGUCGUUGUUGUUGUUGUUGUUGUAUGUUGGGUAAAGUUAAUGCAGUUGCAUGUAUAGGUUUCAUCUGACUCUAACAAAAGACUAUUGACCUCAAUUGUGAACCUAUUGUUGCGGCAGGCCAGUGUAUGGAUAAUCAUUU
rnacentral:misc_RNA from 1 species